rnacentral:lncRNA from 1 species
CACUGUGCACGUUUAAAUAAAUUCCCAACAAUCAAGUGGCCAAUUCCGGGAGAGGGAUGCAGCACAAUGGUGCCAGCAAUGCUAGAUAAACUAAUCGAUAUGGAUGUGGUAACGAAAUAAAUCGAAAUGGUGUCAUAUAUAAAGUGACAAGGCGUGCAGUUUGCCCAGUUUUUACUAUCGGGACGUUCCAAGAAUCCAAGUUUGAGAGUGAACUGCCUUGAUAUGUGUGAAUGGCUUAUGAAUAUUUUAAGAAUCCAACAAUUUUUUAGCAAGUUUGGGCCCAUGCUAGACAAAAAGGACGGUGGCAAUCAAUGAAAAAUGCUACUCAGCCAUGUGCAAAACCAGGCUAAAAAACAAGAAGCUGAGAUAGCAACACCUCGACCCUUAGAUCUGAAAAAAAAAAAGUAAGUGAAAAAGGGGCUGAGGUUGAGCCUGGCUCAGUAGGAGGGCUGGGCAAUCAAUUCAUAUGCGUUUGUGGUUGUCAGUUCAAUUUUAGUUUUUCCCACUUUUCAUUUCUGCUCUUCAAUAUCUUCAUAUGUGGCCCUCGCAAGUGCAUUCAAAUUGCAUCAAAGGGCAAAAUAGUCAUCGAGGCUCAACGGCAUUAUCAUUCCUAUAUCCAUCUCUGACAAAAAUCUUUGUGGUUGUACCGCAUAACCAAGCAAGUACUGUAGAAAAAUAAGAUGUGUUAAAAAAAAAAGAACUAAUUAAAAUGAGCAUCAAAUAGGUUGUUAAUCUUUAUUUUUUAUUUUAACUUUUUAAAAUAAAGAGUGAGUUUAACUUUCUAAAUUUAGAGAACUAAACUUUCUUUCUAGCCUUAAUGUAUAAUGAUUGCAUUUAAUAAGUCACAAAUUUCGACGAGUAAUGUUAUUUAACAUCACUGUUGUUAAAACACUAGUUUAUCUGAUACUAACACUAGUUCUUCAAUAGUUGUAUUUUCUCCAAUGAUUUCAAUCACAUUUUCAAAAAGAUACAAGAAGAUAGUAUUCCGUGCUAUUUCUUCCAAUUCGGUCUUUUUUAACAUCGUCAUAUCUUUUGUCAAAGAACCAUGUAAGGCUCUAGCACAUUUUAAUUGCAUUAAGAUAGCUCUUAUCUUUUGACUCGACAUACUGAAAUCUCCCCUUCCAUCAUAUUGGUUUAUUUCAAACUUAGCAGUUGCCAUCAUAUAUUCCAAAAACGAUAAACUCGUUUGAACAAAAAAUCCAACGGAAGACACAUGAAAAGAUACUUGACAAAAAGGGGUUAAGCCGGCAGUAUUGCACACGGAUGUAUAUUCUCAAUCAGUAAACAUAUCACUCCAGUAUAAAAAAGAAUCCCAGACAAAGAUUACAAUUCCUAUAUUUCAAUGAUUUCUCCUGCAAGAUCCUCCAACUAUACCCCUGCACCGAGUUUAUCUUAGAUUCCCAAGGCCUCUUUAGAGCCUUUGGACAAAGACCAUUCUUGGGAGGGAAAUUGUGUAGCGUAAAUCAAGAAAUUCUAAUAUUUGGAAUUACCAAACAAUGAGAUAUAGGAAAGGUCUCACCAAAUGAGUUCAAAGAACUCUGGUUCCUUCAAUUAAGUUCACGUAGUUUUGAAGUUGAUUUCAGAUCCACAGUUUGCUCGACGAUCCGGUAUCGCAAUUUACAAAACCAAGCUUUGAUAUCAUUGAAAAGGUUGAGAAACACUGAAAAUUAAUCAACGAUUUAAAAACUAAUAACAGAACAUUUAAAAGAAAUUGCAAAAAUAAAAAAUCAACACAAAAGAAUUUUUUUGGCCGAAGACGACCGCUUCGAAUGCCCAAUACCCUGUUGAGUUUUCAUUGUAAAUGGAUAAAACUCGGUUGCAUUGUAAAGCAAAAAAUAUGAUAGCCACAAUACAACACGUUCAAAAAUCACAAGAUCAAGUCAUAGAGAUUUAUCUUUAACCAAAAACUUUGGAUCAAAGCACCAUCUACCCACAAAUCAUAGCAGAACACUUUGUUCUAUCUCCAACGUCCACUGCUCAAACGAAUUACACAGAUUCUUUACACAAACUAUUCAUUUACACACUUUAUUGAAUCAAGAAUGAGAAGCUCUAACACUAAAAAUGAGGUUCUCUCUCUAAAAGGAAGCCCAAUCGUCGAACCUAAAGAAGAUGAAAAAUGAAUCAACCGUGUAGCCAAACAGUCACUUGGAUAGAUAUAAAAUCAGAAGAUCUAGAAUUAGAUCUGAUGGUCACCAAGAGGCCAAGUGUCACGAUCCCAAUAUAGCAUCCACUAAGAAAAGUGCCAUUUUGGAAACACGCUUUCUAAACCCCUUUGUAAAUAUUACCUAAAUGGUAUUUCUUUCCCACAUUUCAAAUAUCUUAUUCCUAAAAUUUCCUUUUCAUUCACUUACUAUCAUACCUUCCCUGGACGAAUAUUUUUACAGAUUUUCAAAGCACGCCUUUAACAAUGGAUGAUCCAGGUUCGAAACACAACAAUCCCAAAUGGACCAAUGCCUCCUUUAUACUUUAUUGGACCUCUGAUUGCAAGCAAUGAUGGAGACCGUAAAAGUGCUGAACAUGAGUGUUUGAAUUGGUUAAAGUUACAGCCCAGUAAAAGUAUUAUUUUUCUGUGUUUUGGAAGUAUGUGAUUGUUCACGGCGGUGCAGCUGGCGGAGAUGGCCGCUGGUUGGAAAAUAGCGGCCACAGGGUUGUUUGGGUAGUGCGUAAUCCACCCGCGGAUGACAAAACCAAUACUCAACCAGUAGAGCCAGACUUGGAUGCGUUGCUGCCACAAGGUUUUCUUUCGUUUAAAAGUUUAAUUACUUGUAAUAUUCACCUCCCUACAGUGGUUGAAUUAAAUUUUUCCUGUCAAAGACAAAUAUUUGAAUAAUUUAUAAUAAAUUGGUGGGUCGAUUUUCAGGAAAUGAGAACAACAAGACUUGAUUAUCCGUUACACUACAAAGUUAACUAUCGUAUUUAACGUUUAUUUAUUUAGAUUUUGUCUUCAAUAGGUUUCUUGGAAAGUAAAGAUAGAGGGGCUGGUGGUAAAUUCAUGGGCUCAGCAAGUGGCGGAUUUGUGACACAUUACGGUUGGAACUCAAUUCUAGAGGCUAUUUGCGCGGGUGUCUCUUGGCCACUCUAAGCAGAGCAAAGAAUGUGAAGGUGGCAUUGGGUUUAACUGAGUCUGCCAACGGUUUCAUGACAGCUACUGAGUUGGAGAACCGACUUAUAGAGUUGAUGGACUCGGAGAAACGGGAACUUCCUUCUUUUGUACAUUUUUGUGGAUAACCAUAGGGUUACUAUAUCCCUGUAACACUACUCUCAAUUUGCUUUACUAAAUGGGAAAAGUUGCAGUAUUAGUCCAGGAUCAUGUUACAUGUACAAAUUUUUUUUUUUUUUUACAAACUCCCUUACUCACUACUCACAAUAGAAAUGGGGAUCACAAGCCAACAUUUUUUAAAUUCACGUGAGGUCCAUUACUUUUGUGAGAGUAAGUAUACCAUUUUGUCAACAAAAUUUUGUACAAAUAUUUUUAUCCACUAGUUCCCAACAUAUCGUCGUUGCAGUAUUGGUUCCCAAUGUAUCAUCGUUGCAGCUAGAUAUUUUUCUAUUAUUAAAAAAUGAGCGAG